rnacentral:rRNA from 1 species
AAUCCAUAGGUUAAUGAGGCGAACCGGGGGAACUGAAACAUCUAAGUACCCCGAGGAAAAGAAAUCAACCGAGAUUCCCCCAGUAGCGGCGAGCGAACGGGGAGGAGCCCAGAGCCUGAAUCAGCAUGUGUGUUAGUGGAAGCGUCUGGAAAGGCGCGCGAUACAGGGUGACAGCCCCGUACACAAAAGCGCAUGUGCUGUGAGCUCGAUGAGUAGGGCGGGACACGUGGUAUCCUGUCUGAAUAUGGGGGGACCAUCCUCCAAGGCUAAAUACUCCUGACUGACCGAUAGUGAACCAGUACCGUGAGGGAAAGGCGAAAAGAACCCCGGCGAGGGGAGUGAAAAAGAACCUGAAACCGUGUACGUACAAGCAGUGGGAGCACCCUUUGGGUGUGACUGCGUACCUUUUGUAUAAUGGGUCAGCGACUUAUAUUCUGUAGCAAGGUUAACCGAAUAGGGGAGCCGGAGGGAAACCGAGUCUUAACCGGGCGUUAAGUUGCAGGGUAUAGACCCGAAACCCGGUGAUCUAGCCAUGGGCAGGUUGAAGGUUGGGUAACACU